UUUUUCAUUGGUGCCCCCACUUUAUUUCACACGGCCAUUACCUUGAGUUUGACGUUGGUCAAUGUUAAUACAAGUUGAAUUUUAUUACCAAUUUGCGGGAUAAAUCUACUGUUCUUCACAGUGAAAAAUUGUAAGAUGUAGGAGGUAAUAGGAUUCAAAAUAAUGGGUUUUUGUGCACCAAACUGACGUUUGAAUGAAGGUAUUCUGUCGUUAUCCUACUAGAAGAACCCAAUGGACAACAAAUAAUGGUAGAGCAAAUCAGACAGCAAAAGAUUGAGGAAUAUUUUGCCAUAUUUAAUACAUCAAUGUUCCUGGAGACUCUGAAAAGUUCGUGGAACCAUCUAGUUCGAGUCCAUUGUGAAACUUAGAAAUGAAUUCUUUGUAUGCCUGGUGUGAAUAUGAGGAAAUGUUAAAACGUACAGAUGGAAUUGCCAAUCCACAUAUGUUUUUAUUGAACAAGUGUAUAGUGAUCGAGUGCAUUUUGAACUGUGAUAAUUUAAAAACUAAACUAAUUCAUAGGUUUAUUACUUUUAGUUUUAAGCAAAAAAAUUACAAUAUCCCAACUUUGCAGGGACAGUAAAAGCAUGUUAUAAAAUAACUGGUAAUUACUCUUUGUUUUUCUUU